AGGAGAACUAUGAGAAUGUGACCUCGCUGGGGUUUCUGGUUUCCAAAUCUGAUGUGAUCUCCCAGCUGGAACAGGGGGAAGACCCAUGGGUCCCAGACCUCCAGGGUUCAGAGGAAAGAGAGAUCCUGAGAUCUCCCUGCACAGGUGAGGAAACAUUAAACCAACUCAGAAUCUCAGGUGAUGCAAUGGUAGGUGAGAAAGAGGAGCAGAAUUCUCAGCAGGGAAAUGUUGAGCAAGUGGAUAAACACAGAGAAUUAUCACAAAGAAUGAAAAGGAAUGUGUCCAGGAGUCAUGAGCAGAGAAGAUCCUGUGAGAUUCAGCACAGGCCAGAAAAAGAGAAGGGAAAACAGCCAGGGGAGAAAAUGGAUAAAUUUAUUUCCUGUCAGGGAACUCAGAAGGGCCUUAAGGAAACCAGAACACAGCAGGAAAUCCUCAGGGAAAAGCAAAAAAA